AUGGACCAUUACGGUUACAAAGCACCUUCCUGCCUAUUCGAUGACCGCCGCUUUCUUCCCGUCCGUGAAAUCGCAAAGGAUGUGGUGCUUCUUGCCGCUAAAUCCGUCAUCAUGCUCUCAUCCUCUCUCGGGAGUGAGCCGUUGAAUAAGUGUUGUGGCUUAUGGCUUCAAACCGCUCUUGUUUUAACGUCUGCUCAUCUCAUUCGUGAAAAGGAUCCCUCAGUCGUGAACCAAAGGAAGUUGCAGUGGACAGGAAAAUAUCAUCGUGAGGCUGAGGUCACUAUUCACUUGCUGGACAAAACAACUGCACUAGGCCGCCUCCUUUAUCUCCAGGAGCAUUAUGAAUUGCUAUUUAUGAGGUUCAGUUGCCCACUUUUAAUGAAUGUGUGCGUUCUGGUCAAGAUGUUUUCCGACUUGGGAGAGAUGAAAAUUUGGAUCUAA
rnacentral:rRNA from 1 species